UACGUAGGGUCCUAGCGUUGUCCGGAUUUAUUGGGCGUAAAGAGCUCGUAGGCGGUGUGUCACGUCGGCCGUGAAAACCUGCAGCUUAACUGUGGGCGUGCGGUCGAUACGGGCAUCACUGGAGUUCGGCAGGGGAGACUGGAAUUCCUGGUGUAGCGGUGAAAUGCGCAGAUAUCAGGAGGAACACCGGUGGCGAAGGCGGGUCUCUGGGCCGAUACUGACGCUGAGAAGCGAAAGCAUGGGGAGCGAACAGG
rnacentral:rRNA from 1 species